rnacentral:rRNA from 1 species
ACACCGGCAGCUCAAGUGGUAGCCGCUUUUAUUGGGCCUAAAGCGUCCGUAGCCGGUCUGAUAAGUCUCUGGUGAAAUCCCGCAGCUUAACUGUGGGAAUUGCUGGAGAUACUAUCAUGACUCGAGGUCGGGAGAGGCUGGAGGUACUCCCAGGGUAGGGGUGAAAUCCUAUAAUCCUGGGAGGACCACCUGUGGCGAAGGCGUCUAACUGGAACGAACCUGACGGUGAGUAACGAAAGCCAGUGGCGCGAACCGGAUUAGAUACCCGGGUAGUCCUGGCCGUAAACGAUGUGGACUUGGUGUUGGGAUGGCCUCGAGCUGCCCCAGUGCCGAAGGGAAGCUGUUAAGUCCACCGCCUGGGAAGUACGGUCGCAAGACUGAAACUUAAAGGAAUCGGCGGGG